rnacentral:rRNA from 1 species
UGGGGAAUUUUGGACAAUGGGCGAAAGCCUGAUCCAGCCAUGCCGCGUGAGUGAAGAAGGCCUUCGGGUUGUAAAGCUCUUUUAGUCGGAAAGAAAGAGUUGCAAUGAAUAAUUGUGAUUUAUGACGGUACCGACAGAAAAAGCACCGGCUAACUACGUGCCAGCAGCCGCGGUAAUACGUAGGGUGCGAGCGUUAAUCGGAAUUACUGGGCGUAAAGGGUGCGCAGGCGGUCUUGCAAGUCGGAUGUGAAAGCCCCGGGCUUAACCUGGGAAUUGGGUUUGAAACUACAAGACUAGAGUGCAGCAGAGGGGAGUGGAAUUCCAUGUGUACCAGUGAAAUGCGUAGAGAUGUGGAAGAACACCGAUGGCGAAGGCAGCUCCCUGGGUUGACACUGACGCUCAUGCACGAAAGCGUGGGGAGCAAACA